rnacentral:misc_RNA from 1 species
UCUCCGUAGGUGAACCUGCGGAGGGAUCAUUACCGAGUGAGGGCCCCCGGCCCGACCUCCAACCCUUUGUGAACGCAAACCUGUUGCCUCGGGGGCGACCCUGCCGUCUCGGCACCGGCGCCCCCGCGGGACAUCCAACACUGCAUCUCUGCGUCGGAGUAUCAGUAAAUCUGAACAAAACUUUCAACAACGGAUCUCUUGGUUCUGGCAUCGAUGAAGAACGCAGC